AUCGUUUGAUUGCCGAAUUCGCACCGUUGUUAGAGGCCUUAAAUCGGCCAAGCAAAUGGUGCGCAGCGGGGGACCCAGAUCGUUUUGGGGCUAAUCCAAUUGUGGACGGGGAUCUUCGCCCCGAGCCCGACAGCUAACCUCGUAGGCGAACGAAGCACCU
rnacentral:sRNA from 2 species